CGGCGAAUACUAAUGAGCGCUUCCAUUUUGGAAGCGCUUAUUAGUACUGGAGGAACCAGGAAGCGUUGAACGCUCUGUACUUACAGCUUCCUGGUCCUCGGCUGUCGGCUGCGCACAGCUGACAGCAGGAAGAAGAGGAUCGCGGGCGGCAAGGAGCGGCGGCGUCCAGGAGCAGAGAG